UUUUGGACAAUGGGGGCAACCCUGAUCCAGCCAUUCCGCGUGAGUGAAGAAGGCCUUCGGGUUGUAAAGCUCUUUCGCAAGGGAAGAAACGUUACCGGUGAAUAUCCGGUGAUAAUGACGGUACCUUGAUAAGAAGCACCGGCUAACUACGUGCCAGCAGCCGCGGUAAUACGUAGGGUGCGAGCGUUAAUCGGAAUUACUGGGCGUAAAGCGUGCGCAGGCUGUUUUGUAAGUCAGAUGUGAAAUCCCCGAGCUCAACUUGGGAACUGCGUUUGAAACUACAAGACUAGAAUAGGUCAGAGGGGGGUAGAAUUCCACGUGUAGCAGUGAAAUGCGUAGAGAUGUGGAGGAAUAUCAAUGGCGAAGGCAGCCCCCUGGGAUCAUAUUGACGCUCAUGCACGAAA
rnacentral:rRNA from 1 species